GCUGUACUUGUUGCUGGCACAAGUGCCAAAGCUGUUGAUGCCAUGUUUUAAAAUCUACUUUAAAGUACAAUGUGUCAAAUUAUGGACUUUAUGCCCUUCUUCCUUUUGAUGUAUGUGUGUGUACGGCUCACAUGUACAGGAUAUUGACUUGACACACGGGAAACAAGGAACAUUUACUCAAAGAUCCAUAAAGUGUACCUAUGGUGAGGAAGGGACUGUGACCUGGGAGAAGGUUAGAGAUGUUGUUUGUGCCUUUUCACUCAGCUGAAGUGGUCUUUUGAUGAACGAAACAGCCUUUCUGAUGCUGAAAAUCAUUAAUAAAGGGAUGGCUAACAUGCUUUUUAUUUGCUAUAAUUCAAAUAUAAACUGACCAUGAAUCAACAAGAAAAUGCAGACCUGCAACAUUUCCCAGCACUAUACAAUGAUGUUCACCCCUGAGGAAUCCUUACAUUACCAGCCUACACAAAUGAAAUUAGGAAAGCAAGGUGGUCAGACCUAGAUCCUGACUCAACAGAAGAACCAGCAUCUACCUGGAGGACACAGUGAAGAAUUUAAGCUGAAAUAAGCAUCUAAAUACAGCA